CCCUUUUGGCCAGUAUGGUAUGUAAGGUCAGGUUGCAUUAGUCUAUGUUAGGAUAAACUGGCUAACAUAUCAGUGAUGUAAAGUCGCUUCAUGUGUACUUUAUGUAACCUCGGACACAUGUACAACCUAUCACAUGUCCAUGUUGUUCUUUCCAUACACAACUUUUCCAUGUGCGGUCUUAAAUACAACUUGGUCUCACACCUAUACCUGAGAGCUCUCUCAAGUACAAAUAAACAGGAAACUAUAUGCUGAAAAGUGUGGUGAUAUAUUCAGUUACUAAAUUUACUGAAUUUGUGAUCCCAAUAUUGCCAGCAGAAUAGUGAAAUGACAGGGAUUGCUCUAUAGCAAAUUUGCAGUGUCCUUGAACUUUGUGAUGUUUCCUAGGGCAACUGGUCUGGUCCAAACUAAUAAAUGCAUGGGUUUUCAUGUUAUGUUCCAUGUAAGAAGUUGAUCUAUGUUUCUUAUGUAUUUGCCUUUAUCUCUCUUGUUCAUUGCAUUGUUGCUUGCUGAUGUUCUUACAUUAUUUUCUGAUCGCUUUAUUACCGGGUUGAGAAUGACCGCACCCGCAGGGGUGCGGCAAGCCGCACUUCUUACCUGUUGUACAGACAACAGAGGAGUGCCGGAGAGAGAAUCCAUUGAAUGCAGAAGCCUGAAGGAGUCCAUAUAGUGCAGGCUGGUCAAGCGUGAGGUUAGUAGCAUGCAAACUACUAACUAGCUAUUGUGAUUAGGGAUACCUGUCAGUUAACUCCUUGUUCGUGCAAGCUAACCUAAUUGAUUACUUAGUAGCUACAUAAUGGUAUGUUUUAACUUUAGAAUGAGAGUAAUCACUAGAGGGUUGGAUUCAUGGUUGCAAUAUUUAAUUUCUAUUAAUUUGCUUUUAUAUAUUAUGAACUUCAGUUUCUUUAUAUGCCAAAACAAAAUCGCCAAUUUGGAAACCUCUGUCAGUGUUAAAUAAUUAGGCAUAUAAUAAGGUGAAAAGAGUGGUAACAAUAAGAUUACUGCUUGAUGUACAGAGUUCAGGUUAUCACACCAUAUGAAGUGAAAGCGCCGUUGGGACUAUUCGCGGUGCAUAGAACUUCCAUGGCAGCACGGGCGAUUCCAAGGCCCACUUGAGCUCCUCCUGCUGAUGUCAGACGGUGAGAUUUCUCAACCUGCACUCUAUUAGCCAUGUAAGAUUGCUUUGCUAGAGAUCAUUUAUUUCUUGCCAUCCAUUCGUUAUAAACUUGAUUCUUCGUCACGAAUGGAUCCUUAAUUAUGUGUGUCAUGUUGUUUCCCUGAAAACGGACGAUCGAGUCACAUUUCUUAUUUUCUGUUGUGAGUUGAGGAGCUUGCGGUUUUAAAAGUAUGUCUCAGUUGUAAGAAUGUGGAAAUGAUGGACAGGUAGCAAUUUUUUUAUAUUUUCUGUUUAUAUCCAAUAUUAAGUAGUUAUUAACUCCAUGGCACAGGACUGUACUUUUUGUAGAUGUAGUAGCUUUUGAUUUCCAUUUAGUUAUGGCUUUAUCUCCGCUUUUACAUACUGAUUAGGAUUUCCAUUUAGUCAGGGUCACAAAGUCUUUGUGCCAGGAUUCUUCCCUUUGUAAAUGUGAAAGCGGCUUGUACAAUCUAUUCACAGACUUGCUCUGCUGCUUUGUAGCCCAACUGAUUAUGUACUCUUGAUCGUCCUCAUGGCAU
rnacentral:lncRNA from 1 species